UACGGGGGGGGGCAAGCGUUGUUCGGAAUUACUGGGCGUAAAGGGCGCGUAGGCGGUCCGCUAAGUUGAAUGUGAAAACUCUGGGCUUAACCCAGAGCCUGCAUUCAAUACUGGCGGGCUAGAGUUCUGGAGGGGAUAGCGGAAUUCCUGGUGUAGCGGUGAAAUGCGUAGAUAUCAGGAGGAACACCGGUGGCGAAGGCGGCUAUCUGGACAGAGUCUGACGCUGAGGCGCGAAAGCUAGGGGAGCAAACAGG
rnacentral:rRNA from 1 species